GGGGGAUAACACCUGGAAACAGAUGCUAAUACCGCAUAACAACUUGGACCGCAUGGUCCGAGUUUGAAAGAUGGCUUCGGCUAUCACUUUUGGAUGGUCCCGCGGCGUAUUAGCUAGAUGGUGGGGUAACGGCUCACCAUGGCAAUGAUACGUAGCCGACCUGAGAGGGUAAUCGGCCACAUUGGGACUGAGACACGGCCCAAACUCCUACGGGAGGCAGCAGUAGGGAAUCUUCCACAAUGGACGAAAGUCUGAUGGAGCAACGCCGCGUGAGUGAAGAAGGGUUUCGGCUCGUAAAACUCUGUUGUUAAAGAAGAACAUAUCUGAGAGUAACUGUUCAGGUAUUGACGGUAUUUAACCAGAAAGCCACGGCUAACUACGUGCCAGCAGCCGCGGUAAUACGUAGGUGGCAAGCGUUGUCCGGAUUUAUUGGGCGUAAAGCGAGCGCAGGCGGUUUUUUAAGUCUGAUGUGAAAGCCUUCGGCUCAACCGAAGAAGUGCAUCGGAAACUGGGAAACUUGAGUGCAGAAGAGGACAGUGGAACUCCAUGUGUAGCGGUGAAAUGCGUAGAUAUAUGGAAGAACACCAGUGGCGAAGGCGGCUGUCUGGUCUGUAACUGACGCUGAGGCUCGAAAGUAUGGGUAGCAAACAGGAUUAGAUACCCUGGUAGUCCAUACCGUAAACGAUGAAUGCUAAGUGUUGGAGGGUUUCCGCCCUUCAGUGCUGCAGCUAACGCAUUAAGCAUUCCGCCUGGGGAGUACGGCCGCAAGGCUGAAACUCAAAGGAAUUGACGGGGGCCCGCACAAGCGGUGGAGCAUGUGGUUUAAUUCGAAGCUACGCGAAGAACCUUACCAGGUCUUGACAUACUAUGCAAAUCUAAGAGAUUAGACGUUCCCUUCGGGGACAUGGAUACAGGUGGUGCAUGGUUGUCGUCAGCUCGUGUCGUGAGAUGUUGGGUUAAGUCCCGCAACGAGCGCAACCCUUAUUAUCAGUUGCCAGCAUUAAGUUGGGCACUCUGGUGAGACUGCCGGUGACAAACCGGAGGAAGGUGGGGAUGACGUCAAAUCAUCAUGCCCCUUAUGACCUGGGCUACACACGUGCUACAAUGGAUGGUACAACGAGUUGCGAACUCGCGAGAGUAAGCUAAUCUCUUAAAGCCAUUCUCAGUUCGGAUUGUAGGCUGCAACUCGCCUACAUGAAGUCGGAAUCGCUAGUAAUCGCGGAUCAGCAUGCCGCGGUGAAUACGUUCCCGGGCCUUGUACACACCGCCCGUCACACCAUGAGAGUUUGUAACACCCAAAGUCGGUGGGGUAACCUUUUAGGAACCAGCCGCCUAAGGUGGGACAGAUGAUUAGGGUGAAGUCGUAACAAGGUAGCCGUAGGAGAACCUGCGGCUGGAUCACCUCCUUUCUAAGGAA
rnacentral:rRNA from 2 species